rnacentral:rRNA from 1 species
CAGCAGCCACGGGAAUACAGAGGGUGCGAGCGUUAAUCGGAUUUACUGGGCGUAAAGCGUGCGUAGGCGGAUUCUUAAGUCGGAUGUGAAAUCCCUGAACUUAACUUAGGAAUUGCAUUCGAUACUGGGAAGCUAGAGUAUGGGAGAGGAUGGUAGAAUUCCAGGUGUAGCGGUGAAAUGCGUAGAGAUCUGGAGGAAUACCGAUGGCGAAGGCAGCCAUCUGGCCUAAUACUGACGCUGAGGUACGAAAGCAUGGGGAGCAAACAGGAUUAGAUACCCCCGUAGUCCCUGUCUCUUAUAC